rnacentral:rRNA from 1 species
GGGCCCGCACAAGCGGUGGAGCAUGUGGUUUAAUUCGACGCAACGCGCAGAACCUUACCAGCCCUUGACAUGUGGAGUUUGGUUAUCAGAGAUGAUUUCCUUCAGUUCGGCUGGCUCCAACACAGGUGCUGCAUGGCUGUCGUCAGCUCGUGUCGUGAGAUGUUGGUUAAGUCCCGCAACGAGCGCAACCCUCAUCUUUAGUUGCCAUCAGUUCGGCUGGGCACUCUAGAGAAACUGCCUGGGAUGACCAGGAGGAAGGCGAGGAUGACGUCAAGUCCUCAUGGCCCUUAUGGGCUGGGCUACACACGUGCUACAAUGGCGGUGACAAAGGGACGCAAUAGGGCAACCUGGAGCAAA